CUUGCCCGAAAUCAUGAACGAUGGGCUGACCAACCAGAUUAACAACCCGGAGGUCGACGUGGACAUCACACGGCCCGACACUUUCAUCAGGCAGCAGAUCAUGGCUCUCCGUGUGAUGACCAACAAACUAAAGAAUGCAUACAAUGGCAAUGAUGUCAACUUCCAGGACACGAGCGAUGAAUCCAGCGGCUCGGGGAGUGGCAGUGGGUGCAUGGAUGAUGUGUGUCCCACGGAGUUUGAGUUCGUCACCACAGAGGCCCCCGCGGUGGACCCCGACCGGAGAGAGGUGGACUCUUCGGCAGCCCAGCCCGGCCACUCCCUGCUCUCAGGAUCUCUGGUCUGCAUCGUCCUGGCACUGCAGAGACUGUGCAGAUAAUCCUGGGUUUUUGGUCAGAUGAAACUGCAUUUUAGCUAUCUGAAUGGCCAACUCACUUCUUUUCUUACACUCUUGGACAAUGGACCAUGCCACAAAAACUUACCCGUUUUCUAUGAGAAGAGACAGUACUGCACUCUGCCUCCCUUUCUGUUUGCCCAAAGAGUACUGGGUGCCACACUGGACUGCUUCCUCUUUCCUUCAGCUCUCUAUGGGGACCUUGUUUAUUCUAGAGAAUUCUUAACUCAAAUCUUUCAUACCAGGAGAUUUUCUUACCUUCAUUUGCUUUUAUGCUGCAGAAGUAAAGGAAUCUCACGUUGUGAGGUUUUUUUUUUCCUGUUUAAAAAAAAAAAAGGCAGGAAGAAAAUAAUUUCCCUUGUAAAAUCAGGCCAAACCCCCAAGACAACUGCACUUUCUACAAAGGAGCCAAUAAGAGAGAAAAAUAAAAAAACUUUAACACUGUAAGUUCAGCAUUGCCAGCCGACUCCCAGUAUAAGCUUUUCUCUGAUAAAUCGGGUUUACAAAAUGCUUUCGGGGAGAAAGUUUGAGAUUUUUUUUUAACGUGGUGAAAAUACAGUGUUGUCUUGGAGGUAUUGUCUUGCACUCUAUCCACACAAUACCAAAUUGAAUUGGGGGUACUGAUACUAAAUUUAGAACUCCAUCGUUAACAUGAGAGUAAAAUUGCCAUGACCCAGCACCUCUCUCUCACCUUGCCCAAUUUCAGUUUCAAUGAUGGCACCAUUUUCCUUAAUUCUCUUAAUGUCUGUCCCCUAUAUCCAAUUGGCACAGAUUUUUCUCUUCAUCUCCAGCUACUAGUGGACACUCCCAUCAAUUCAUCCUCCUUAAGGGUCUGAAUUGAAAAUAAUCUUCUGUGAUACAGUGGCUUUGCUUUAGCCACAGGUUGGACGUUAAUUUGACAUUUCUGCCCCUGUGCUCAUUACCGUCCCAAAAUAAGAGUUCUUUUAAUGAACUCAUAAGCAAUUUGAUCCAUAAGUGAGUUUUCAUGUUUAACAGUUUGCUUUGUGUCAGUUGGUUUCUGCAUCACAAGGGCAUUCUCUUACAAAAUAACUCACAACAAAAACCAUCAAGACAAAAAUAUAUAUAUAUAUAUAUAUAUAGUAUUGACAUGGAGAUUUCUUUCACUUUUUUAGUCUUAGUAUGAUCAUCUAUUUUUAUAUCUCUAUAUAUAUAUAAAUCACAGAUUUUAACUUCUUAAUUCCAAGCUCAGGGUUGACACACCUUUGUAACGAAAAUGUUUUGUCAACCACCUCUUCUUGUUUUGUGCUGCUCAGAGAAGGGAUUCCUCAACGAUCUGUGAGCACCAAGAAUCAAGAAAGAGAACUUUUUACGUAUCUAAUUGUCCGUUUCUUAAAAGUUUGCCAGGGCACACCCUUUUUUGCAUGAGCGUGCUUUGUCCUGGGUGCUCCAGAUGGUACCGGGCUCACGGGGGGAACCAUGGGUGUGCAGGACUGUCCUGGUGAUGGAAACUGUAGAAUGGUGUAUACACGCAAAACCAUUGCUUCCAUGUACGCCUUCAGCCUAGGAUUCCCGCUUGGCACUUGGACUUGGACAUAGGACCUAACUCAAGAGGCCACUUUAGAGCCACAAGCCUAACUGACCCUCCAAGUGUACCAAAGCCAGGCCCUUAUGCUCCCCUUGGUAGAGAGAAGCAAAAUAAACCAAACUGGGGCUUUAUUCAUAUAGUUGGCUCUCCAUGUGUUUCUUGGUUUUGAUGAUGAUCUGGGGUUGGGAAAAGUAAUGUUUCAAGACACCACCGUAUGCCAGUCACAUUUUAUUUAACCCAUUGGCAGAAAUGGCAUGUAAAUGGUAUUUUUUUAUCUUUGCUCUCAUCAAAAUUAUAAUUAGUUAUUGAUUUAGUCGUCACAUUUAAGUAGAACACAUGCGGCACAAUAGUAUUAAGUAUAUUUGAGCACUUUUGCAAAACUGCAAAGUAUUUAGAAGCAUCUAUUGCUAUUUUAUGCCUAGAGAAAUAUAAAAAGUAGGAUUCUAUGAGACUUUGUGGCAUCUUUUCAUUUAAAUCUUUAUGAAAUUAACACCUAAUCUAAUUCAGCAUUGCAUACUUCUAGAAAACCAUCCAUUUCACUGCCAAACUUCGGCUUCCUAUCACCAAUUACACAGAAAACAUCUCUAUGAAGGACCAAUCAUUUACAUUGCCCAUUUCAUUGUAUGUUCAGAAAUCAGUAUGGUCUUUUUCCAAUAAUUAAGGUGCAAUACCAAUUAAAUCAAUUUUGAUUUUCCAGAAUAUUUGAGUAAUAACUUGUUUUUAUGGCUUUAAACUCCAAGUCUUUCCUUUUUUCAAUAUUUCUGCAUUGUCUUCUGUGAAGUAGAGCAGAAUGCCUUGUUUCCUCUGUGCUUUCACCCCCAAAAGGCUUUGUGCAUGUGUAUGAAUACACGUUAUAUUAAUGAAUGUGAACCCAUGCUCCGUAUACACUAAACACACAGAUAAUAUGUAAACGCCUGCUUCAUUUGUUUCAACACCUUCACGAUUGAUAUUAUUCAUAUUGGUGAGAUAACAGUGAUCCAUACGAGCCAGGCAGAGAGCUGAAAUGACUAUCAGUUAAUGAUGCCACAACAUUCAUCCCCUGCAUGGAUGUGGUCAAAAUAUUAUUCAAAUCGCACUUCCUAGUUUUUAUCAUCAUCCGACUGUGUUGUAUGAUUUUCAGACCAAUGUAACAUGAGACUUGUUUUCUGUCCUAAGGGAAUUAGUUUAAUCUAGUUAUCCCAUUUCAGUAAGUAUUUCAGCAUUCCUCCUCUCCCCCGCCCCCUGCCACGUUAAUUUCUCUCGUCUAAACAUAGCCAUCGGGGAUGAAAGGAUGCUCCAUUAUUUCUCCCGAUCUGCCCUCAUUUGCUUUGAUGUCCCCUAAAUUCUCUAAUCACAUCACAACCUCUGUUAGGAGUAGGGAGGAAUGGGCUCACUGAAAUCAGACACUAGAAAUUGUUGGGUGACGCUCAUGACCGCAAACACUUAGCUUUAUUGAAGUGCCUCUCUUUACAUGUUCUUUAGUUAUAAUAUGUAUUUUUCUAACAGAAAUACACGUCUGUAACUGGUGUAUAUUAUACUUUGUAUAUGUUAUAACAAAAGCUAAACAGAGGCUAAAGUCUUUAGCAGAGAAGAAUGAAUUGCAAAUUCAUGAAUAAGAGCUCUGCUUAUGGUUCUGUAUCGAAGGGUAACCAUGACAGCCUUCUGUCACCUUAAUGAAGAUCAAGUGGGUACUUUGAUGACCGCCAUCAUAGAAAAACGUUACCACUAGCAAUCGGACUCCCUUACGGUGAUUUACCCAGAGAAGUAACUGGUAUUACCUACUUUCAUUGUAAGGGAUAGGAAAUAUUACUUUGUCUACACUGAAAAACACUAUUAAGUAGUAAUUGUAAAAGUAACAUUCUGUAAAUCAAACACAUUGAAAAUAUUACUGGACACAGAACCCUGAUAUUUAAUUUAUAUUCCCUGCUGCAGACAUUAGCCUACUUUAAUGCUUUAGCCAUUACAUACAUGUUUUGGCUACACACUGAACACCAACUAAAGUCCCCAAGGAGGAAUAGAAACUUAGCAAAUUCCUGAGUUGUGAACUCUUUUAUGGCUUCUCUCCGCAAGGCUAAUUAUCAGGUGGUUUGAUUACAGGUGGAAGUGUUAGCAAAUGUAAGUUUUGACUUAUCCAAAACUUGCAGAAAUACCAACUCAUUUUUAUUUACUUACAGUCACUAAUAGACCUGACUUUUAACUUAAAAGAGGGUGUGUGUGGGAAGUGGGGGGGAGCAGUUUAGCUUUGCCAAGAGAAGAGUAAAGGAGACCAUAACUUAUACAUUUGCAACGUGUUUCUCCUUGGUGGAGACAUUAGCCAGUGUUUAGUUUCAGGCCAAGUUAUACAAAUAGAGUAUUGAUUUGUAUGCAUUCUGGAGCCUUGCUGCAUCACGGUUUGCUAUGGCGUGGGACUCAGCCUAGCCUGGGGCUAUUUGAACCUCAUUCAGAGUUGAGUAGUUACUCGAAUCUUUGACAUUGCCUUGUAAUGAGGUACUUCCAUGAGAAGACCCCUGACGAUGGAUAACGGUGAGGUCUCUGUGUGCAUAUGCAUAAUAUAUAUGCAGGACAAAUGUGUGCACCAAUCAAACCUAAAAUUUUAUGUGACUGUCAAAUGAGUAUUACUUGGGUUAAGAUUUUUCAUUUCUGAUUUGGAUAGAAAAUUGCUAUUAAUCUUGUAUUAAAAUAGUUUUUAAAAAUCUA